AUUGAACGCUGGCGGCAUGCUUUACACAUGCAAGUCGAACGGUAACAGGCCUUCGGGUGCUGACGAGUGGCGAACGGGUGAGUAAUGCAUCGGAACGUGCCCAGAGGUGGGGGAUAACGCAGCGAAAGCUGUGCUAAUACCGCAUGUGAUCUGAGGAUGAAAGCGGGGGACCAGGCAGCAAUGUUUGGUCUCGCGCCUUUGGAGCGGCCGAUGUCAGAUUAGGUAGUUGGUGGGGUAAAGGCCUACCAAGCCGACGAUCUGUAGCUGGUCUGAGAGGACGGCCAGCCACACUGGGACUGAGACACGGCCCAGACUCCUACGGGAGGCAGCAGUGGGGAAUUUUGGACAAUGGGCGCAAGCCUGAUCCAGCAAUGCCGCGUGCGGGAAGAAGGCCUUCGGGUUGUAAACCGCUUUUGUACGGAACGAAAAGGCUCUGGCUAAUACCUGGGGCUGAUGACGGUACCGUAAGAAUAAGCACCGGCUAACUACGUG
rnacentral:rRNA from 1 species